GGAGCACACAGGAAGAAGUUGGGAGUAUCUGAGGAGCUUGAGAGAGGGUCUGAAGGCUGGCAGCACCCAGCACAUCUAGGAAAGUUCAGAAGAUGUCUAGAUACUGCAUUUGAAGGAGAACAAGUAGAAGGAAGCUCUACUCGGAGAUCAAAGGCAACCGGCAGCAAUUUAUGAGAAAGGAAGGAAGUGGGAGAGGCAUCCCUGGCUCUCAGGAGCUCUUCACUGGAGACGGGAAGGAUAAUAUUUAUCCAAAGCUAAUUUGUAAACUUCAUCGUUGUUUGAAGGUCUGGAGUCUAAACUGCUCCUCUGCGCUUGAAGGCGGCAAUGCACAGGCCAGUUUCUCUAGGAGCCAACCUUAGCAGGCGGCUUCCCAGAGGCCUGUAGGCUCCCCCAGGCCCCUGCCGGCCUUAUCUUUGGUCAACUGGCCCUGGCUGAGCAAUUCCACAGCAAAUCCUGAACCUGCACAUUUUUGC